rnacentral:rRNA from 1 species
AUUGAACGCUGGUGGCAGGCUUAACACAUGCAAGUCGAGCGAGCGGCGGACGGGUGAGUGAUGUCUGGGAAACUGCCUGAUGGAGGGGGAAAAAUACUGUAACAGGUAGCAAAUACCGCUUAAGGUCAGAUGUGCCCAGAUGGCAUUAGCUAGUAGGUGGGGUAUAGGUUCAUCAAGGCGAAGAUCCAUAGAUGGUCUGAGAGGAUGACCGUCCACACUGGAACUGAGACACGGUCCAGAAUCCUACGGGAGGCAGCAGUGGGGAAUAUUGGGCAAUGGGCGCAAGUCUGAUCGAGCCAUGCCGCGUGUGUGAAGAAGGCCUUCGGGUUGUAAAGCACUGUCGGCAGGGAGGCGUUACUCGCAGAAGAAGCCACGGCUAACUCCGUGCCAGCAGCCGCGGUAAUAC